UAAACACAGGAUCCUUAUGGGACAUC
rnacentral:piRNA from 1 species